CCAAGAAUCCUCGUCACGGCCGCAGCGAUGGCCCCCGCCGCCGCCGAAACCGUCCAGGACGAGCACCUCAAGGCGUCCCCCUCCCCUUCGCCGGCGCUACUGCUGCUCAAGGUGAAGAGGCUCUCGCCGAACGCCACCCUCCCUUCCCGCGCCUCCGCGGGGUACGACCUCUCAAGCGCCGUGGAAACCGUGGUGCCGGCGCGCGGCAGAGCCCUCGUCUGCCACCGACCUCUCCGUCGCCGUCCCGGUGGGCACCUACGUGCGCAUCGGCAGCAUUUGCUUCAGGUUUCCAGUCUUGUGGAAGCUGUCGAAUUCAGGUGAUUCAGCUACAGGCCUACAGCUAGGGACACACCAACAUUAUCAAGGUAUGGAGGCCAGUGGCUAGGAGAUGCGACUGAGAGGCCCUGGAGAUGACGGCGGACCGGAUUAAAGCGCUUCACGCUGCAGUUCGGGAGGGCCCUUCGUCAGCUUGAUUUUAUGUUUGCCCUAUGUAUCCCUAGCUCUUGCCGCAUGUGUAGUUGGGGCUACCAGGUGUGCUUUCUACUAGUUAUGCGCUCCCUAUAUGGAUGAUGGGUCGGAGACCCCUGAAACUGUUUCUUUCGUGUGUGUUUGUGGUGUCGUUCAUCGUUUGUGUUUGUAAGACCUUUGUAUGCUGCCGGUGUGGCUUUAUUAAUUUAAA